rnacentral:rRNA from 1 species
UACGGAGGGUGCAAGCGUUAUCCGGAUUCACUGGGUUUAAAGGGUGCGUAGGUGGGCAGUUAAGUCAGUGGUGAAAUCUCCGGGCUCAACCCGGAAACUGCCAUUGAUACUAUCUGUCUUGAAUAUCGUGGGGGUAAGCGGAAUAUGUCAUGUAGCGGUGAAAUGCUUAGAUAUGACAUAGAACACCAAUUGCGAAGGCAGCUUACUACCCGAAUAUUGACACUGAGGCACGAAAGCGUGGGGAUCAAACAGG